GGGAACGCUGCCCCGGUUGCCAUCCCCGGAGGUGCACGCCGGCCUGCAGUGAUUACUGGGAGAUUAAUUGGGUGUCAAUUCCCAAAAGCUUGGCUUCCCUGACCAAGCUGCGUUGUGAGAGUUCAAUGUGAUGGCGUUCACGCUGAAAAGGCCCCAACCGUACGUCCUUCUGACCGGAUCAUCUGAUUUACCAGUACGCCUCCUUUAACUUGAACCAAUCAGGCAAGAAAACGCGCAGAUCCGGUGUUCUUGUACGCACUGAUCAAUCGGCCGGCGCCGUCGGCCGUGGUGGUGUGAACGAGCCAACGAGGUCCCUGACGUAGUGACAUAUCUCCAGACUGCGGCGGGGCUCUGGUUGGUCAGUAGCACAGCUAAGGUCCUGUUCGUUUUUAUCAAACCCAUGGGGAUUGAGAGUGAUUGAAUCCCCUACAAGUUAAAAUUCCCCUCAAUUCACUCCAAUCUCCCUCAAUCCCCAUGGAUUAGGAUGAAAUGAACAAAGCCUAAGGGCUUAUUCGGUUAUUUUCAAUCCAUAUGGAUUGAAGGGGAUUAAUACGAAUUGGGAAGGAUUUUGACUUACUAGGGAUUGAAACCCCUCAAUCCCCCUCAAUCCAUAUGGAUUGGGGUAGAACCGAACAAGCCCUAAGUGGGAAUUGGACCGGCCUAGUUUGGUCCGGCUCUAUAGUGAUUUGAGUCAAAUGCGCCCAGGUUUAUAAGGCUAUUUUUUUUUGAUCGUAUU
rnacentral:lncRNA from 7 species